rnacentral:rRNA from 1 species
CCGCCCAGCCUACGCAAAGGAGCCAACUGCCUCAUAGCUCUUGUCGCCUGGUCCCUCUGGAAGCACUACAACGCUGCGGUCUUCGACAACCUCCGGCCAUGGAAUGACGACCUCACACACACUAUCCAGCAUGAGGCUCACUUGUGGGAUCGUGCAGGAGCCAAAGGCCUAGGAGUAGUUAUUCCCGCAUCCUAA